CCGAUAAGCCCAGGGCAUGGGCGCUGGGGGUACGGGUGAGUGUGUGUGUCUGUCUGUCUGUCUGUUUGUCUGUGUCUAUGUGUGUGUGUAUCUGUGUAUAUAUGUCUGUGUGUUUGUAAGUAUAUGUAUAUGUGACUGUGUGGGUUGGGGAGUGUGCGUGUGUGUGUUUCUGGCAUCUAAAGAUGGCCAAGGUGAGCCUCCACCCUGUAGCCUCAUGUCUUUGUAAACCUCAGACUUCCUUCAACUAUACAUCUGCCUUCAAGAGACUUUAGACCAAUGGUUCUCAACCUGUGGGUCAAGACCCCUUUGAGAGUCACGUACCAGAUAUCCUGCAUAUCAGAUAUUUACAUUAUGGUUCAUAACAGUAGCAAAACAGUUAUGAAGUAGCAACAAAAUAAUAUUGUGGUUGGGGUCAGCACAACAUGAGGAACAUGUAUUAAAGGGUCGCUGCAUUAGGAAGGCUGAGAACCACUGCCCUAAACAGUUCGCCCAGCAGCUGCCUGCCUCCCUGUCUUGCCUCCAGACCUGAACCUUUGAAUGCACAAAUUAAGCUUCAGAUUUUAUUCUUCCCUAAACCCCUUUCUAGCAACCCACGGAUAUCUUCAAUGAGCACUGAUUGCCUUCCUCAUCCCAGAUGUCAAGAGAGCACCGAGUGAAAGAUGCCGCUCUGCUCUCAGAGACAGAACAGAAAAGCUAUGCCUAAUUCAUAGAGGACUGGGCCCCUCCCACCCACAUCCUCCUUGGAGAAGAGGGCCCAUAGCGCUCUACUGUGAGAGCUGCAAAAUAACACUAUAAAAAUGUUUAUAUACACAUGAGGUCCCCAAGGCAACCUACACGACACAAUGAGCGUGUUGGAAGCAAACCGAGAUAAAGAAAAUGCUAUUUGCUGGCACCUUGUUGGAGAGAUCUGCGGGUGGCUAGAGGAAAUACUGUAGCAUCCAGCUUGCAACCCGGGAUGGAAUCAGCCGCCUUCCCAAGAAGGUGAGGCCAGGGAGCACAAGAAGUUCUAGGAGCCAGACUCUUACGGAGCUCAAUCCAACACGCGAAUGCUGGCAAAGCUAUGCUCCCUCCGAGGGUCUCAAGGACAGUCUGUUCCUAUACCUUUCUCCAUUUUCUUGAGCUGUGUUCCUCGGCUCAUGGCCUCACAUCCACCUUCCAAGCUAGCGUGGUAGCAUCUUCCUUUAAAAAAAAAAUUAUUAAAAAUUUUAAACUUUA